rnacentral:misc_RNA from 1 species
AAGGUGGCUGGAUGAACUCAGCAGUAAGUUUCUUUCUGUUCUUUUUAUCUUGCUGCCAUUUUUUUCUGUUUGGUUGCUUAAUUGAUUCAAAAUUUUAUUUUUCAUUCUCUUUGUUUUAGUGGAAACCAACUGAAGAAUUUACCUACUGAAUUUAUAUGGUAGAAUAUUGUUUGAUUUGAAGAUAGGGAAUAGCUUAAAAGCUAAAAUGAUUGCUAAAAUUGCUUGUUGAAAUGUAUCAAAACUAAAAAGAACAUGGAAUUAGUGCAUUUUAGAUGCUGUGCCUUUUUAAUUUAGCAAAUUGAAAUUGUUUUCCCCAGCGGCAAAUUUUAGAAUCCUGCAUCGUCUUGGUAUGGUAGUACAUACACAAUCUUCAAAAUGUUGCAUUGUCCAAUAUGUAGCAUUCUUCGAACAUCGAGUUUAAACAUAAUCAAUUUUCAGUGAACUAUAUAUACUUGAUACUCUCACUUUAUUUGCUGCAUAAAUAAAACAACAUAUACAGAGUCUUGAAAUGUUGGAUUACUUAUAAAUAUUUCCCUGUAAAGUUGAACUAUCUUAGAGCUAUCAGGUCUUUUAUUUAUUAACAAUCACCUCUUCCUGCCAUUAACAUUUUUAAUUCUGUCAAGUGCAGUUUUUAUCAAGUUGGUGCAAAUUCUUAAAUCAAGGUGUAACUGAUCUAAGUUGUGCAAUCUUUACCAUGACCGUUCGAAACUCCAUCUACUGUAGAGUGUAGAGUCUGGAACUGGAAGAGUUUAGUUUCAUCUUUUGAUCCAUGAACUUUUGAAAGAGCACUCUAGUUGUGGUUUAGCACUUCAUAAAAUUACAUGAACUUUCAAGGAAGUAAACUUCUUACUACAUUGGGCUAAACGUAUUCUGGAAUCACUAGAAAUUUAAAAGCAUUUACGCUCAGCACCCAUGAAAUUUUGGCAUUCAGAGUAGUGGAAUAUGUUUUAGCCAAAAACAAGCAUUUUAUUUUAUGAGUUUUUUUGUCCAAAAUCACUGAUUUUGACCUUGUUUUAAAUGAUCUUGCAGCUCAUUGUGAUACUACAGUAGCAAGAAUGCUUGUAGGGAACAAGCGUGAUCUGGAGAACAUUAGAGAAGUGAGUGUAGAGGAGGGCAAAAGCCUUGCAGAAGAAGAAAGUUUAUUCUUCAUGGAGACAUCAGCCCUUGAUUCUACUAAUGUUCAGGCAGCCUUUGAGGUGGUGAUCCGUGAGAUAUACAACGAUGUGAGCAAGAAAAUUCUGAAUUCCGAUUUAUACAAGGCUGAGUUGACUGCAAACCGAGUCAGUCUGGUCAAGAAUGGAGAAAAUUCAUCAAAGCAGAAUAGUUUUUCCUGCUGCGCUACAUAAUUUCAGUUCUUGCUGUCUUGUGUACCUUCCGGGGCAUAGUAUUUUAUCCCCAUUUUCUUAUAUGAUUAUUAAUUAUAAUUGGUGUUGAUCACUAAAGAAUUUUCCAUUUCAAUCAAAUAUAAGAAAGAAGAAUAUUUUCCUUUCUUAAACUGUUAUUUUUU